rnacentral:rRNA from 1 species
GACGAACGCUGGCGGCGUGCUUAACACAUGCAAGUCGAACGAAGUGGCGAACGGGUGAGUAACGCGUAAUCAACCUGCCCUUCAAAGGGGGCCAACAGUUGGAAACGACUGCUAAUCCCGCAUAAGGAAGGAGGGGAUUGCGUCUGAUUAGCUAGUUGGGGGGGUAACGGCCCACCAAGGCGAUGAUCAGUCGCCUGUCUGAGAGGGUGAACGGCCACAUUGGGACUGAGACACGGCCCAGACUCCUACGGGAGGCAGCAGUGGGGAAUCUUCCGCAAUGGACGAAAGUCUGACGGAGCAACGCCGCGUGAGUGAUGACGGCCUUCGGGUUGUAAAGCUCUGUUAAUCGGGACGCGGUACCGGAAUAGAAAGCCACGGCUAACUACGUGCCAGCAGCCGCGGUAAUUC